rnacentral:rRNA from 1 species
CUUUUUAGUUUCUCAGAUGAACGGGCGGUGGCCCUACACAUCACGAACGCCAGCACAGAGGACUUCUCUUGGGUGGCGAGUGGCGGCGGGGAGGAAUACAUCGGAAUCUACUCUGUGUGGGGGAUAACGUAGGGAAACUUCUAAUCGCAUACGACCUCGGGUGAAAGCGGGGACCUUCCCUGCGCGAUUGAAUGAGCCGAUGUCGAUUAGUAGUUGGCGGGUAAAGCCCACCAAGGCGACGAUCGUAGUGUUGAGAGGAUGAUCAGCCACACUGGAUGAGACACGGUCCAGACUCCUACGGGAGGCCAGUGGGGAAUAUUGGACAAUGGGCGCAACCUGAUCCACCAUACCGCGUGGGUGAAGAAGGCCUCGGGUUGUAAACCUUUUGUUGGGAAAGAAAUCCAGCUGGCUAAUACCCGGUGGGAUGACGGUACCCAAAGAAUAAGCACCGGUAACUUCGUCCAGCAGCCGCUAAUACGAAGGGUGCAAGCGUUACUGGAUUACUGGGCGUAAAGCGUGGUAGGUGGUCGUUUAAGUCCGUUGUGAAACCCUGGGCUCAACCUGGGAAUGCAGUGGAUACUGGGCGACUAGAGUGUGGUAGAGGGUAGGGAAUUCCUGGUGUAGCAGUGAAAUGCGUAGAGAUCAGGGGAACAUCCAUGGCGAAGGCAGCUACCUGGCCAACACUGACACUGAGGCACAAAGCGUGGGGAGCAAACAGGAUUAGAUACCCUGGUAGUCCCCCCUAACGAUGCGAUGGAGUUGGGUGAAUUGGCCCAGUUGAAGCUAACGCGUUAAGUUGCCCUGGGGAGUGGUCGAAAAAUUUGCACCCGCCAGUAGCUCGGAUCAUUCC